UGGGGAAUCUUGCACAAUGGGCGAAAGCCUGAUGCAGCAACGCCGCGUGAGCGAAGAAGGCCUUUGGGUCGUAAAGCUCUGUCCUGAGGGAAGAAGGAAGUGACGGUACCUCAGGAGGAAGCCCCGGCUAACUACGUGCCAGCAGCCGCGGUAAUACGUAGGGGGCAAGCGUUAUCCGGAAUUAUUGGGCGUAAAGAGUACGUAGGCGGUUCUUUAAGCGCAGGGUAUAAGGCUAUGGCUUAACCAUGGUUCGCCCUGUGAACUGGGGGACUUGAGUAUCGGAGAGGAAAGCGGAAUUCCUAGUGUAGCGGUGAAAUGCGUAGAUAUUAGGAGGAACACCAGUGGCGAAGGCGGCUUUCUGGACGAAAACUGACGCUGAGGUACGAAAGCGUGGGGAGCAAACAGG
rnacentral:rRNA from 1 species